rnacentral:rRNA from 1 species
UACAGAGGGUGCAAGCGUUGUUCGGAAUUAUUGGGCGUAAAGCGCGUGUAGGCGGCUCGUUAUGUCGGGGUGUGAAAGCCCUCAGCUUAACUGAGGAAGUGCGCCCGAAACUGGCGAGCUUGAGUGUCGGAGAGGAUAGCGGAACACCCGGUGUAGAGGUGAAAUUCGUAGAUAUCGGGUAGAACACCAGUGGCGAAGGCGGCUAUCUGGACGACAACUGACGCUGAGACGCGAAAAGCGUGGGGGAGCAAACAGGG